ACCUGCCCCUGACUCUGGGAUAAGCCUGGGAAACUGGGUCUAAUACUGGAUAUGCACCGUAGACCGCAUGGUUUUUGGUGGAAAGAAUUUUGGUCAGGGAUGGACUCGCGGCCUAUCAGCUUGUUGGUGAGGUAAUGGCUCACCAAGGCGACGACGGGUAGCCGGCCUGAGAGGGUGACCGGCCACACUGGGACUGAGACACGGCCCAGACUCCUACGGGAGGCAGCAGUGGGGAAUAUUGCACAAUGGGCGAAAGCCUGAUGCAGCGACGCCGCGUGAGGGAUGACGGCCUUCGGGUUGUAAACCUCUUUCAGUAGGGAAGAAGCGAAAGUGACGGUACCUGCAGAAGAAGCGCCGGCUAACUACGUGCCAGCAGCCGCGGUAAUACGUAGGGCGCAAGCGUUAUCCGGAAUUAUUGGGCGUAAAGAGCUCGUAGGCGGUUUGUCGCGUCUGCCGUGAAAGUCCGAGGCUCAACUUCGGAUCUGCGGUGGGUACGGGCAGACUAGAGUGAUGUAGGGGAGACUGGAAUUCCUGGUGUAGCGGUGAAAUGCGCAGAUAUCAGGAGGAACACCGAUGGCGAAGGCAGGUCUCUGGGCAUCUACUGACGCUGAGGAGCGAAAGCAUGGGGAGCGAACAGGAUUAGAUACCCUGGUAGUCCAUGCCGUAAACGUUGGGCACUAGGUGUGGGGGACAUUCCACGUUUUCCGCGCCGUAGCUAACGCAUUAAGUGCCCCGCCUGGGGAGUACGGCCGCAAGGCUAAAACUCAAAGGAAUUGACGGGGGCCCGCACAAGCGGCGGAGCAUGCGGAUUAAUUCGAUGCAACGCGAAGAACCUUACCAAGGCUUGACAUGUGCUAGAUCGCCAUAGAAAUAUGGUUUCCCCUUUGGGGCUGGUUCACAGGUGGUGCAUGGUUGUCGUCAGCUCGUGUCGUGAGAUGUUGGGUUAAGUCCCGCAACGAGCGCAACCCUCGUUCUAUGUUGCCAGCACGUUAUGGUGGGGACUCAUAGGAGACUGCCGGGGUCAACUCGGAGGAAGGUGGGGACGACGUCAAAUCAUCAUGCCCCUUAUGUCUUGGGCUUCACGCAUGCUACAAUGGCCGGUACAAUGGGUUGCGAUACUGUGAGGUGGAGCUAAUCCCAAAAAGCCGGUCUCAGUUCGGAUUGGGGUCUGCAACUCGACCCCAUGAAGUCGGAGUCGCUAGUAAUCGCAGAUCAGCAACGCUGCGUGAAUACGUUCCCGGGCCUUGUACACAC
rnacentral:rRNA from 1 species